ACAACUGAAGGCCUAACCUAACAGCUUUUUAAAGUUGUGGGCUCCAGCAUUUUUGCCCCACAAAGCUGUCUGGACCCCACAAGUAUACUGUAUUCCUUUUGUUUG